UCGGGAAUUUUGGGCAAUGGGCGAAAGCCUGAUCCAGCCAUGCCGCGUGAGUGACGAAGGCCUUAGGGUUGUAAAGCUCUUUUGGCGGGGAAGAUAAUGACGGUACCCGCAGAAUAAGCUCCGGCUAACUUCGUGCCAGCAGCCGCGGUAAUACGAAGGGAGCUAGCGUUGUUCGGAAUCACUGGGCGUAAAGCGCACGUAGGCGGAUUGUUUAGUCAGGGGUGAAAUCCCGGAGCUCAACUUCGGAACUGCCUUUGAUACUGGCAAUCUCGAGUCCGAUAGAGGUGGGUGGAAUUCCUAGUGUAGAGGUGAAAUUCGUAGAUAUUAGGAAGAACACCGGUGGCGAAGGCGGCCCACUGGAUCGGUACUGACGCUGAGGUGCGAAAGCGUGGGGAGCAAACAGGAUUAGAUACCCCCGUAGUCCCUGAGCGGGCUGGCAAGGCGCAU
rnacentral:rRNA from 1 species